rnacentral:rRNA from 1 species
UACGUAGGGAGCAAGCGUUGUCCGGAAUCAUUGGGCGUAAAGCGCGCGUAGGUGGUCUCGUAAGUCCGCUGUGAAAGUCAAAGGCUCAACCUUUGAAAGCCGGUGGAUACUGUGGGACUAGAGUACGGAAGAGGCGAGUGGAAUUCCUGGUGUAGCGGUGGAAUGCGCAGAUAUCAGGAGGAACACCAAUAGCGAAGGCAGCUCGCUGGGACGUUACUGACGCUGAGACGCGAAAGCGUGGGGAGCAAACAGG